CAUAGGUUAAUGAGGCGAACCGGGGGAACUGAAACAUCUAAGUACCCCGAGGAAAAGAAAUCAACCGAGAUUCCCCCAGUAGCGGCGAGCGAACGGGGAGGAGCCCAGAGCCUGAAUCAGUGUGUGUGUUAGUGGAAGCGUCUGGAAAGGCGCGCGAUACAGGGUGACAGCCCCGUACACAAAAAUGCACAUGCUGUGAGCUCGAUGAGUAGGGCGGGACACGUGGUAUCCUGUCUGAAUAUGGGGGGACCAUCCUCCAAGGCUAAAUACUCCUGACUGACCGAUAGUGAACCAGUACCGUGAGGGAAAGGCGAAAAGAACCCCGGCGAGGGGAGUGAAAAAGAACCUGAAACCGUGUACGUACAAGCAGUGGGAGCACAGAGCAAUCUGUGUGACUGCGUACCUUUUGUAUAAUGGGUCAGCGACUUAUAUUCUGUAGCAAGGUUAACCGAAUAGGGGAGCCGAAGGGAAACCGAGUCUUAACUGGGCGUUAAGUUGCAGGGUAUAGACCCGAAACCCGGUGAUCUAGCCAUGGGCAGGUUGAAGGUUGGGUAACACUAACUGGAGGACCGAACCGACUAAUGUUGAAAAAUUAGCGGAUGACUUGUGGCUGGGGGUGAAAGGCCAAUCAAACCGGGAGAUAGCUGGUUCUCCCCGAAAGCUAUUUAGGUAGCGCCUCGUGAAUUCAUCUCCGGGGGUAGAGCACUGUUUCGGCAAGGGGGUCAUCCCGACUUACCAACCCGAUGCAAACUGCGAAUACCGGAGAAUGUUAUCACGGGAGACACACGGCGGGUGCUAACGUCCGUCGUGAAGAGGGAAACAACCCAGACCGCCAGCUAAGGUCCCAAAGUCAUGGUUAAGUGGGAAACGAUGUGGGAAGGCCCAGACAGCCAGGAUGUUGGCUUAGAAGCAGCCAUCAUUUAAAGAAAGCGUAAUAGCUCACUGGUCGAGUCGGCCUGCGCGGAAGAUGUAACGGGGCUAAACCAUGCACCGAAGCUGCGGCAGCGACACUGUGUGUUGUUGGGUAGGGGAGCGUUCUGUAAGCCUGUGAAGGUGUGCUGUGAGGCAUGCUGGAGGUAUCAGAAGUGCGAAUGCUGACAUAAGUAACGAUAAAGCGGGUGAAAAGCCCGCUCGCCGGAAGACCAAGGGUUCCUGUCCAACGUUAAUCGGGGCAGGGUGAGUCGACCCCUAAGGCGAGGCCGAAAGGCGUAGUCGAUGGGAAACAGGUUAAUAUUCCUGUACUUGGUGUUACUGCGAAGGGGGGACGGAGAAGGCUAUGUUGGCCGGGCGACGGUUGUCCCGGUUUAAGCGUGUAGGCUGGUUUUCCAGGCAAAUCCGGAAAAUCAAGGCUGAGGCGUGAUGACGAGGCACUACGGUGCUGAAGCAACAAAUGCCCUGCUUCCAGGAAAAGCCUCUAAGCAUCAGGUAACAUCAAAUCGUACCCCAAACCGACACAGGUGGUCAGGUAGAGAAUACCAAGGCGCUUGAGAGAACUCGGGUGAAGGAACUAGGCAAAAUGGUGCCGUAACUUCGGGAGAAGGCACGCUGAUAUGUAGGUGAAGUCCCUCGCGGAUGGAGCUGAAAUCAGUCGAAGAUACCAGCUGGCUGCAACUGUUUAUUAAAAACACAGCACUGUGCAAACACGAAAGUGGACGUAUACGGUGUGACGCCUGCCCGGUGCCGGAAGGUUAAUUGAUGGGGUCAGCGCAAGCGAAGCUCUUGAUCGAAGCCCCGGUAAACGGCGGCCGUAACUAUAACGGUCCUAAGGUAGCGAAAUUCCUUGUCGGGUAAGUUCCGACCUGCACGAAUGGCGUAAUGAUGGCCAGGCUGUCUCCACCCGAGACUCAGUGAAAUUGAACUCGCUGUGAAGAUGCAGUGUACCCGCGGCAAGACGGAAAGACCCCGUGAACCUUUACUAUAGCUUGACACUGAACAUUGAGCCUUGAUGUGUAGGAUAGGUGGGAGGCUUUGAAGUGUGGACGCCAGUCUGCAUGGAGCCGACCUUGAAAUACCACCCUUUAAUGUUUGAUGUUCUAACGUGGACCCGUGAUCCGGGUUGCGGACAGUGUCUGGUGGG
rnacentral:rRNA from 1 species